UGGGGAGCGGCCCCCGGGGUGGCCCAUCGCUCCGGCCCCUCCUAGGGCCGGCACUCUUGC
rnacentral:pre_miRNA from 1 species